rnacentral:rRNA from 1 species
UACGUAGGGUGCGAGCGUUGUCCGGAAUUAUUGGGCGUAAAGGGCUCGUAGGCGGCUUGUCGCGUCGGGUGUGAAAACCCAGGGCUUAACUCUGGGCUUGCUUUCGAUACGGGCAGACUAGAGGUAUGCAGGGGAGAUCGGAAUUCCUGGUGUAGCGGUGAAAUGCGCAGAUAUCAGGAGGAACACCGGUGGCGAAGGCGGUUCUCUGGGCAUUACCUGACGCUGAGGAGCGAAAGUGUGGGGAGCGAACAGG